rnacentral:rRNA from 3 species
UGCCAGCGGUUAGGCCGGGAACUCAAAGGAGACUGCCAGUGAUAAACUGGAGGAAGGUGGGGAUGACGUCAAGUCAUCAUGGCCCUUACGACCAGGGCUACACACGUGCUACAAUGGCGCAUACAAAGAGAAGCGACCUCGCGAGAGCAAGCGGACCUCAUAAAGUGCGUCGUAGUCCGGAUUGGAGUCUGCAACUCGACUCCAUGAAGUCGGAAUCGCUAGUAAUCGUGGAUCAGAAUGCCACGGUGAAUACGUUCCCGGGCCUUGUACACACCGCCCGUCACACCAUGGGAGUGGGUUGCAAAAGAAGUAGGUAGCUUAACCUUCGGGAGGGCGCUUACCACUUUGUGAUUCAUGACUGGGGUGAAGUCGUAACAAGGUAACCGUAGGGGAACCUGC